GUGAAGCCUGCGGUUCAAUUGGAGUCAACGCCAGAAAUCUUACCCGGAGAGACAGCAGAAUGAAGGUCAAGCUGAAGACUUUACCAGACAAGCUGAGAGGUGGUGCAUGGCCGUCGCCAGCUCGUGCCGUGAGAUGUCCUGUUAAGUCGGGUAACGAGCGAGAUCCCUGCCUCUAGUUGCCACCAUUACUCUCAGGAGUAGUGGGGCGAAUUAGCGGGACCGCCGCAAUUAAUGCGGAGGAAGGAAGGGGCCACGGAAGGUCAGUAUGCCCCGAAACUCUGGGGCCACACGCGGGCUGCAAUGGUAACGACAAUUGGUUUCAAAUCCCAAAGGAUGAGGUAAUCCUCAAACGUUACCACAGUUAUGACUGAGGGCUGCAACUCGCCCUCACUAAUAUGGAAUCCCUAGUAACUGCGUGUCAUUAUCGCGCG
rnacentral:rRNA from 1 species